UGGGGAAUAUUGCACAAUGGGCGAAAGCCUGAUGCAGCAACGCCGCGUGAGUGAUGAAGGCCUUCGGGUUGUAAAGCUCUGUCUUUUGGGACGAUAAUGACGGUACCAAAGGAGGAAGCCACGGCUAACUACGUGCCAGCAGCCGCGGUAAUACGUAGGUGGCAAGCGUUGUCCGGAUUUACUGGGCGUAAAGGAUGCGUAGGCGGAUUUUUAAGUGAGAUGUGAAAUACCCGGGCUUAACUUGGGUGCUGCAUUUCAAACUGAGUCAUCUGAGGUGCGGGAGAGGAGAAUGGAAUUCCUAGUGUAGCGGUGAAAUGCGUAGAGAUUAGGAAGAACACCAGUGGCGAAGGCGAUUCUCUGGACCGUAACUGACGCUGAGGCAUGAAAGCGUGGGUAGCAAACAGGAUUAGAUACCCUGGUAGUCCACGCCGUAAACGAUGAGUACUAGGUGUAGGAGGUAUCGACCCCUUCUGUGCCGCAGUUAACACAAUAAGUACUCCGCCUGGGAAGUACGAUCGCAAGAUUAAAACU
rnacentral:rRNA from 1 species